rfam:Nitrososphaera viennensis EN76, complete genome.
AAUGUAGUGGCCAAGCAUAGGGGCCUUUGGAGCCCUUGACCCCAGUUCGAAUCUGGG